UGGGGAAUAUUGGACAAUGGGCGAAAGCCUGAUCCAGCCAUGCCGCGUGUGUGAAGAAGGUCUUCGGGUUGUAAAGCACUUUAAGUUGGGAGGAAGGGCAUUAACCUAAUACGUUAGUGUUUUGACGUUACCGACAGAAUAAGCACCGGCUAACUCUGUGCCAGCAGCCGCGGUAAUACAGAGGGUGCAAGCGUUAAUCGGAAUUACUGGGCGUAAAGCGCGCGUAGGUGGUUUGUUAAGUUGGAUGUGAAAGCCCCGGGCUCAACCUGGGAACUGCAUCCAAAACUGGCAAGCUAGAGUACGGUAGAGGGUGGUGGAAUUUCCUGUGUAGCGGUGAAAUGCGUAGAUAUAGGAAGGAACACCAGUGGCGAAGGCGACCACCUGGACUGAUACUGACACUGAGGUGCGAAAGCGUGGGGAGCAAACA
rnacentral:rRNA from 1 species